rfam:Gossypium arboreum cultivar AKA8401 contig_16026_7, whole genome shotgun sequence.
GGCUGCGAUCAUACCGACAGAAAUGUGCUGGAUCCCAUCAGAACACUGCAGUGAAGUGUGCUUGGGUGAGAGUAGUACUAGGAUGGGUGACCUCCUAGGAAGUCCUCGUGUUGCACCCC